CUGCGGGGCUGGGGAAUCCGCGGCCACCGCCUCUAAUCCGCCCUUAAGUAGUCUCCGCCUGCGUCACGCCAGGUCGGCGGAGGGGAGCAGAGCGCGGCGUGCCGCUGUCGCCGAGCGUCGGAGCCCGAGGGGCCGCGGCCGCGCGCCGCGGGGGGAGGAGACGGUCUGGAGUCCCCCCGCUGCGCCGGGGUUGGGGAGACGGAGGACUGCAGCGCCCCUUGGGGCUUCUGAGGCGCCCAGGUAACCUCACCUGGCCGCCAGUCUCCCGCAGGAGGAACAGACACGUUGGUUCCACACCGAACCUAUUAACAGCUCAACUUCAAAUAUUUGGCAGAGGUGGGAUUGCUGUUCACUAAGGAAAUCUAUUGACUACAAUUACUGGGAAAGACUAAUUUGGACUGUAUAUAGUCUGUACAUUUUGCUGUAAUAGGAAACAGUUUAAAGCUAAGCCCAGGAGAAAACAAGAAUCCAAACACACUCUUCUAGAAAUAAAAGACCAGCCUGGAUUAAUUGACUCACUGAAGUUCUGUGCAAACAGAAACCAGAUUUCUUCUGUUGACCAAUUACCAGAGCCUCUGAGACAGCGACUUCAGCUCAAUGUCACUGCCUGCAAUUUCCUUGGAAAUCUGAUUUUCACUGUGGUCCCUUGAAAACUGACGGCGGCUCGGGAGGAAACCUAGUCUGUGCUCUGGACUUCCAUCCAUGCACUGAUGCUCUCAGUGUUACUGUGGUCAUACUCGCAUCUAUUAUGAAAGCAAGAAAAGGACACAGCCAUCCUUCCCAAGUUCAGGGAGUGCUGGCUGUGAUUUCUUCACAAAUGCACUUAAGUCUUGCAUAAAGGUAGAUCAUGCAUUACAAUACAGGCAGGAAAAUUUCUAAUGUCAAGUAGAAGAAGAUAUCAUUUAAAGCACAUUUUCAUGGAAAUUGUGCUGUUAUGUGCAGCCCAGAACAGCUGAAACUUGAGCUCAGAUUGGUAGGACUUCUCCAUCUUAACAGCUAAGAAAAGGGACCACUUGUGAGGUGCCAUGGCAACAGCAUCAUGUCCAAUGGUUCUUGGAGAAAUCCAUGCAGAAACAUGAUCAGAACACACAAGGAUUUGCUAUUGAUUUGAUGAAACAAUGGGCAAAGUAUUUCAUUUUCUAUCAUAUUCUAAUGUUUUUCAUUUUAAAAAUAUACAAAUAAUAUUCAGCAUAAAAGAACCAGGAUGUGAAAAUGCAUAAAGAAGACUAGGGUCAGUCUCUUGGAGAUUUUUUGUGCCUCUAUAGAUGCCCAUAUUCAUGAAGGAAGGGGAAAAA